rnacentral:rRNA from 1 species
GUAGGGGGCAAGCGUUGUCCGGAUUUAUUGGGCGUAAAGAGCGUGUAGGCGGCCAGGUAGGUCGGUUGUGAAAACUGGAGGCUUAACCUCCAGACGUCGACCGAAACCAUCUGGCUAGAGUCCGGAAGAGGAGAGUGGAAUUCCUGGUGUAGCGGUGAAAUGCGCAGAUAUCAGGAAGAACACCCGUGGCGAAAGCGGCUCUCUGGGACGGUACUGACGCUGAGACGCGAAAGCGUGGGGAGCGAACAGGAUUAGAUACCCUGGUAGUCCACGCCGUAAACGAUGGGUGCUAGGUGUGGGAGGUGUCGACUCCUCCCGUGCCGCAGCUAACGCAUUAAGCACCCCGCCUGGGGAGUACGGCCGCAAGGCUA